AAGUGAUGUCACACCCAGUGGCGUAACUACCAGGGGAACAGGGGGUGCGAAUGGGCCCACACCCCCUCAGGGCCCCCCCGGCAGCUCGAGCGCCACUGCACACACAAAGAAAACAGCGUACGGAGGGGCGGGGGGCCAGCAGCACGUCCCGCGCCAGGGCUGCCCCCCUCUAGUUACGUUACUGGUCACACCAAGUUAAUACUGUAGCUCCUAUCCUAAACAAACAGAGAGUUUCUAGAGCUUUUUACUCAGGCCGUGUGUGGAGAGUCCCGACAUUUUUCAUGCCAUGGCGAUUGGUCGUUCAGACGGCCGGAAAGGGCCUGCCGAUGACAUCACAAAAGGGGCCGGACAGGGAGAGCGCACCUAUAAAAAUGGAUUCCGGAAGCCAUCAGUGUAUGGGCGCAGGGAGAGCAGGCAGAAAAGAUCAAUCCUAACUCGCCGACCCACAAAUGGAGUGUUGGGUUGGCCCCAGGCCAGACCGCACAUCACUAGUAUAUACUAUAGUAUGUAACAGAGUAUGACCACCACAUUUUAGGUGCUGUUCAGGAAUGGGCAUCAUGUUACCAAGAGGGAAGGAAGACAACAGAUAACGCUGGACCUGUAAGAUAUGUGUAUGGGAGAUCAUAGUCCUAUGCAACUUAAUAAACCUAAGAUACUGUACAUGGAGAAUAGCAUAAUACAAUGAAUACAACUAUACCCAUAAAUGUUUUUUAAUUGUGGCUUUACAUUCCCUGAAUGUGAUUGUUUGUGCAUUUUUUUUUUUGUGUCUGCUCAUUAGUAUAAAUCCAAAGAUGUUUUAUUAAACUGCUUAUAUUCUUACAGCUUUAAAAUGGGGUUCACUACUUUUUGUUUUUUUUUACUUAACUUUCUUUCAGGCCAUCUCCUAUUUAUUUUGCAGUCCAUCAUUCCAAGUGCUGCCUGGUUGUUAGGGUAAAUUGGAACAAUAGCAACCGUUCCAAUUAGCUGCUGAACGAAAACCUUAAUUUAAAAAAAAAAAAACCCAAAGUAUAUUACCCUUUUUUAGGAGAUCACCAUUGGUUUUAUAGCAGAUCAGCAUUGGUUUGUCAAAUUGCAAACUGUUCACCAAUAAUUCACUUCUGUAAAUUUCUUUUUAUUACUGCACUUGAAAAAAAUUCCCCUAAAUGUUAAAAUACAGCAUACAGCAGCAGCCUAAAAUACCGUUACACAGGUAAGAUUCCUACUCGUAGCUUCAUAAAUAAAGAAUUGUUGAAUGAUAAGAAUAAACAUCGAGUUGUCUAAAGUGUAAUAUGUAAUUGCUACUGAAACUGGUUAUUGUCUGUAUUUUACAAUUCUUUUCCCUCAUACCAACGUAUGCCAUUACAACAUUGUAUUGGAAUUCAGCUCUCCUCCAGUAAUUUCCCGCAAUAAUUUGCAUGACCUAUGAUUAACAGGUGGGAGAAGGGGAGUAAUAGAAAUAUGCAUGUUUUUGUGGGUAUUGGAGUCUUGUAAUGAUACAAUAUUGCAAUUAUGUAGUCUGGCAAACUGAGAUGGCAAUAGCAAAGGCUAGACAGAAACUGCUUUCAAUUGUUAUUUCAUUUACAAAUAACUUAAAUCACUGAAUGUUUUAUUUUUGGAAAGACAUGUUUGCAUUUUUCAGGACUGUACACACUGACUGUAUGUUUUCUUUAUGUUUUUAAAAUAUGCUGUAUUUGUGUACGUCCAAAUUAAAUCUGUUGGCAGGCAGUCCAAAACUUAAACGAAAGGUGGGGGCUUGCCUGGGUGGAGCUUGGUAUAUUAGGGUUGGAGCUGUAGAGUAGGUGUUGCUAUGGCUUAAUGGUCAUGAUUUUCCCACUGGAGAUGUUAGAUGGUAUGUAUUUUGCUUAAUAUGUUGUUUUUCACUAA